GCAGUCUUUAGAGUUGUGGAGAUCAAGGUUCCAAUCCAGCGUGGCCGCCUUCUGGCUCUAUUCCUUUGAUGCAGACACUGAGGCUCAGAAAGACAAGCAGACCUGCUCAUGAGUCAUCCAGCAAAUGGCAAAUGGCACUCUGGCAAAUGGGAUCGAGAUCAAUCCUGCCCCAUUUAAAAGGUGUGCGUUCCUAACCAGUAAGUCAGUGCUUCCCUAAAAGUGCCACCGACAGUCCUUUGAGAUGCUUUCAGCAUAAACCCUGAAUUACUAGACUUGUGUUUGAGUCCAUAUAUGUUUAUUUCAGAGUGUGUUAGGAAAAAGUAAAUGACAGCAUCUGUUUAUGA